UCCCUGGUGGCUCAGACAGUAAAGAAACUGUCUGCAAUGCAGGAGACCCAGGUUCAACCCCUGGCUUAGGAA
rnacentral:tRNA from 1 species